CAGCAGCCACGGUAAGACGGAGGGUGCUAGCGUUGUUCGGAAUCACUGGGCGUAAAGGGCGCGUAGGCGGCCUGUUAAGUCGGAUGUGAAAGCCCGGGGCUCAACCCCGGAACUGCAUCCGAGACUGGCAGGCUUGAGACCGGGAGAGGAGGGUGGAAUAUCCAGUGUAGAGGUGAAAUUCGUAGAUAUUGGAUGGAACACCGGUGGCGAAAGCGGCUCUCUGGCCCGGAUCUGACGCUGAGGCGCGAAAGCGUGGGGAGCAAACAGGAUUAGAUACCCCAGUAGUCCCUGUCUCUUAUAC
rnacentral:rRNA from 1 species